rnacentral:rRNA from 1 species
AUUGAACGCUGGCGGCAGGCCUAACACAUGCAAGUCGAGCGGAUUACGGGAGCUUGCUCCUUGAUUCAGCGGCGGACGGGUGAGUGAUGCCUAGGAAUCUGCCUGGUAGUGGGGGACAACGUUUCGAAAGGAAUGCUAAUACCGCAUCCGUCCUACGGGAGAAAGCAGGGGACCUUCGGGCCUUGCGCUAUCAGAUGAGCCUAGGUCGGAUUAGCUAGUUGGUGGUGUAAUGGCUCACCAAGGCGACGAUCCGUAACUGGUCUGAGAGGAUGAUCAGUCACACUGGAACUGAGACACGGUCCAGACUCCUACGGGAGGCAGCAGUGGGGAAUAUUGGACAAUGGGCGAAAGCCUGAUCCAGCCAUGCCGCGUGUGUGAAGAAGGUCUUCGGAUUGUAAAGCACUUUAAGUUGGGAGGAAGGGCAGUAAGCUAAUACCUUGCUGUUUUGACGUUACCGACAGAAUAAGCACCGGCUAACUCUGUGCCAGCCGCCGCGGUAA